GAGACAAGGAAAAUCUCCCUUUAUACCUUCAUGCAGAAGAGGAGCCCCAAAGGUAGAGGGAGAGUUCUGAUGCAAGUACUCAAAAGAGAAGACAAUGUGAAAACAGAACAGAGAGAUAUGCCAAGGAAUGCUGACCAUAAUCAGAAGCUAAAAGAGGCAAAGAACAGUCUCUCUCCUAGAGCCUCCAGAGGGGCCUCAAUAUCUUGAUUGCAGACUUCUGGGCUCCAAAAUUUUGAGAAGAAUAAAUUCCUCUUGUUUUAAACCACCAAGUCUGUGGUAAUUUGUUAUAGCAGCCACAGGAAACUAAUACAUAGGGGGAAUAAAAUUUUAAACAUCAUAAAGUGGACAUAUAUAAAACAUUACUGAUCCAAAAAGAAUUGUGUUUCAGAUAACCCAAAGAAUGUCUAAAACCUUUAAUCCCUCAUUUCAAAGGGUAAAUUGAGGCUACUGCAGGAUACAAUUUGCCCCAAAGAAAUUGGCAGAUCUGAGAAGAGAAACUCAGAAAGAUCUAAUAUUUACAUAGCUGCUAACAAGAACAGUGUAGGUUUUUCUGCAAACAUGCUAGUUGGUAGAGCUCCUGGACAGACUAAACAUAGGCAGCAGUUGUCACAGUGGGUGUUCUUCCAGCACAAGUGUAAAGCUGUCAUCAGAAAUGAAUAUGUGGCUUCGAGUGGCUUACAGAAAUCCAACAAAUCUGCAUCUUGGACUCUGGACAAGCGAACUCUUCUCAG
rnacentral:lncRNA from 10 species